rnacentral:rRNA from 1 species
UAGGGAAUAUUGGUCAAUGGGGGCAACCCUGAACCAGCCAUGCCGCGUGCAGGAAGACGGCCUUCUGGGUUGUAAACUGCUUUUAUACAGGAAGAAAUAGGUCCUGCGGGAUCAGUUGACGGUACUGUAUGAAUAAGCACCGGCUAACUCCGUGCCAGCAGCCGCGGUAAUACGGAGGGUGCAAGCGUUGUCCGGAUUCACUGGGUUUAAAGGGUACGUAGGCGGUUUUUUAAGUCAGUGGUGAAAUGUGUCGGCUCAACCGGCAACGUGCCAUUGAUACUGGAAGACUGGAGUGUUGUAUAGGUAGGCGGAAUUGAUGGUGUAGCGGUGAAAUGCAUAGAUACCAUCAAGAACACCGAUUGCGAAGGCAGCUUACUUGGCAACGACUGACGCUGAGGUACGAAAGCGUGGGGAGCGAACAGGAUUAGAUACCCCCGUAGUCC